UGGCCAAAGAAGGAAAAAAUAUGGGAAGAAUUAAAUUGGGUUCAGAGGGACUUGAAGUAUCUGUUCAAGGACUUGGUUGUCUGAGUAUGUCCGAUUUCUACGGGCCGCCUAAACCCGAACCCGAUAUGAUUGAACUAAUACACCAUGCCAUUAACUCCGGCAUAACAUUUUUCGAUACUUCUAAUAGUUAUGGGCCUUACACUAACGAAAUCCUCCUUGGCAAGGCUUUGAAGGGAGGAAUGAGGGAGCGAGUCGAGUUAGCAACAAAAUUUGGUAUACAUUUUGCAGAUGGAAAGAGAGAAGUACGUGGAGAGCCAGCCUAUGUAAGGGCAGCAUGCGAGGCUAGCUUAAAGAGACUUGAUGUUGAUUGCAUAGACUUGUACUACCAGCACCGGAUUGAUACACGCGUGCCCAUUGAAGUAACGGUUGGAGAACUUAAGAAGCUAGUUGAAGAGGGGAAAAUAAAAUAUAUAGGUCUAUCGGAGGCUUCAGCAUCAACAAUUAGAAGAGCACAUGCUGUUCAUCCAAUAACAGCAGUACAAUUAGAAUGGUCUCUAUGGUCGAGAGAUGUAGAGGAAGAAAUAAUCCCUACUUGCAGAGAGCUCGGAAUUGGGAUUGUAGCAUACAGUCCACUAGGCCGGGGCUUUUUGUCAUCCGGUCCAAAGCUGGUUGAGGACUUGACAAAUGAAGAUUUCCGAAAGCAUCUACCGAGGUUUCAGGGCGAAAAUCUUGAGCAUAACAAAAAAUUUUACGAGAGGAUUUGUCAAAUGGCAGCUAAGAAGGGAUGCACCCCGUCUCAACUCGCGUUGGCCUGGGUGCAUCACCAAGGAAACGACGUGUGCCCCAUCCCGGGCACCACUAAGAUUGAAAACUUCAAUCAGAACAUUGGAGCUCUGUCCAUAAAGCUAACAUCAGAAGACAUGGCAGAGCUUGAAUCUAUUGCUUCAGCUAAUGCAGUCCAGGGUGAUAGGUACGGUUCGGUUGCGCCUACCUACAAAGAUUCAGAAACUCCACCCCUUUCAGCAUGGAAGGCUACAUAAAUGAUGAAGGGUAAAAUUAAAUAUAUAGGUCUAUCCGAGGCUUCAGCAUCAACAAUUAGAAGAGCACAUGCUGUUCAUCCAAUAACAGCGGUACAAUUAGAAUGGUCUCUAUGGUCGAGAGAUGUAGAGGAAGAAAUAGUCCCUACUUGCAGAGAACUUGGAAUCGGGAUUGUAGCAUACAGUCCACUAGGGCGUGGAUUUUUGUCAUCCGGACCAAAGCUUCUUGAGGACUGCUCAAAUGAAGAUUUCCGAAAGUAUCUACCGAGGUUCCAGGGCGAGAAUCUUGAGCAUAACAAAAAACUGUAUGAGAGGAUUUGUGAAAUGGCAGCUAAGAAGGGAUGCACCCCGUCUCAACUCGCGUUGGCCUGGGUACAUCACCAAGGAAACGACGUGUGUCCCAUCCCGGGCACCACUAAGAUUGAAAACUUCAAUCAGAACAUUGGAGCUCUGUCCAUAAAGCUAACAUCAGAAGACAUGGCAGAGCUUGAAUCCAUUGCUUCAGCUAAUGCAGUCCAGGGUGAUAGGUACGGUUCGGCUGCGGCUACCUACAAAGAUUCAGAAACUCCACCCCUUUCAGCAUGGAAGGCUACAUAAAUGAUGAGUUAUUCUUGUGUUGUGAAAUGUAUCGAAUGAGAAACUUUAUUUUUUUUCUGUUUCAAAACUAUUGUGCUACUUGCUGUUGUUUCAAAUAAUAAAUUAUGUGUCCAAACAUAAUUUGAACUUGCAACUUUUAAGUUUGAAC